GUGGGACUUCCGGUCUCUAUAGAGCCCUAAGGAUAUGAAUUCGGCCCGCAGCCUUCGCUUCAAAUGGGUUCCUCUCCGUUUGAGCCACCAGAUGAGAGUGCAGCCCAGCCGGCAUGUGGAUUACAGCCUGUCAGGAAAGACUUCAGAAAGGAAGUGAGAACUGAGCUGGGGCUGGAGGCCAGGAAGGCAAUGGAGGGAAAGAGUGAGGAGAAAGUCACCACGCAGAGGCAAAAGCAUGUGGAGACACAGAGGCCGAGGUGAAAGAGCAUUGGAGGUGAAGGGAGCUCUGCACAUGUUGGAGGAGAAGCAGCUGGCGCGGAAUAGCCUGUGAGCCUCCAAUACAUGUCUGGGGCUGGCAGGAAACUUUUGAACCUUCUCCUUCUACCUCCUUCGCCCAGCUAACAGAGCCUUGAGUGUGUACUAGGCACCUUGCAAGCACCAGGGAUUCAGUGGUGACCAACAGUAGUGCAGCC
ensembl:lncRNA